rnacentral:lncRNA from 1 species
GUGCUUUCCUGUUUUCUCUCAUCUCUUGGGGCCGCACAUGACAGCCCCAGGUCAGCAUGUGCCUGCGUGCUGGCUAGCCAGUGAGACUGGAGCCAGUUUCCAGGGACUGAGGUCUCUGAAAUCUGUUACAUUCUCUUCAUCCCCUUCCCCAUCACCUAACCCAAGGUACCUUCGAGGGACCGUUAAUGCCCUCUGCAGAUGUGUUCUCCUCAUAGCAGCCAGAGGAGUCCUCUUAUGACAUAACUUAGGUCAUGUCAUUAGUUUUGACUGGCUUCCCAUUCUCACUGGAUUCGAUCUAAACUGGCGUGUAAGGAAUACCCUGGAAUGGCUUCUCAUUCUCUUUGCCUGAACCCCACACUUCUCCUUGUUUACAUGGCCCUGUACAAACUGGCUUCCACGUCUCAUCUCACUCCAGGCUACCUACCCUUACUUGCCUUGGGAGGCAGAAACAUCGCUAUGUGUCUUCCCAAGCUGUUUAUUGCCUUCCUGUGCACAUGGCCAGACACCGUCCCCCCCUCCUCGCGGUAAGGCGGGGCCGUAUCUUGGAGUUCUUGUCAAUGGAAUAUGAGUGCAAGUGAGAUGCAUCACCUCUGGUCUUGGCCCCCAAAGCUUUUUCUUUUUGCCGUUGACUGCAUGCAGAGGCUAUAAUGGACCACUCCAAGGAGACCUCGGAGGAUGGCAGGGAGCUUGGGUUUUGAGCAACCGAGCAAAAGACCUCCAACCAAACACCCGACUGGUUCUGAGGAGAAAAAGGGAUACACUAAUAUUGUCUGAAAUCACUGAGAUUUGGGCUUGGGUGUUCUAAUGGCCCGACUCAUCGCCUGUUCUCUGUUCCUGGAAUAUGUUAAGGUACUUUGUGCUUCUCCGAGGCUGUGUCCUCUGCUUGCAAUGCUUUUCCUGACCAUUCCUCACAUGCUUGCGUCUUUAGCCGCUAGGUCUAAAACUCACCACCAGCUCUUAGCCUUCAUCUGUGUUCUUGUCUUAUUAUUUUUUUUUUAUAGAACUUUUUACAACUUGUGUGUUGUUUUUCUUAACUUUGGUUUUCAUUGUGUUCCCCACUAGAAUGUGAGCCUCCAAGGGCAUGAAUCAAGUCUGUCUCACCCCCCAGCAUAUAUCCCGUGCCGAACAAAGUGUCCGACAAAAAGUAGGCAGUUAACAACUAUUAGCUGAUGGAUUGAAUGAAUGAAUGAAUGAACCAAUUAUGUGUGAUUCAGCUCAGUUCAUUUCAAAUAUUUCCGGGGCACCAACUUUGUGCAAGGCACUUUACACACAUAUAAUGCGUUCUCUACUCAAUUCUCAUUAAAAUCCUAGUGGGGAGGUAAGAUCAUUAUCCCCACUUUACGUAAAGACAUCAAGAGGCAUUGGCAGCAACCAUAACCCAGGUCCUUCACAAUGGCAUUCUCCAGCCACCAUCCUAUCUCUGAAAGGUAGGUCCUAUGGUCUCCGUUUUACAAAAGAAAAAACUCAUGCUCAGACAGACUGAGUCACUUUCCCAAGGUCAUGCAGCUAAUGAGGUCAUGCAGCUGGGAUUUACACCCAGGUCCAGGGGGAGGGAAUGGAAGAGAAUGGGGACACGCCUCUCUUACAGUGCUAUUCUUCCUGACAGCCUCAUUAGAAAUCCCCACAGAAUAUCUGGAACGUGGGUGGAAAUGAAGACUGGAUUUCUCCAGAGUCCCAUGAGCUCGGUUUGCAACGGGAUUUCAUUUUAAACGCAGGACCCUCUCUCUCCCAUGGCGCCUGGGAUGAGGGGGCGCCAUUUUGUAUCCUGGGAACACAGCUCCCGUGACCUUGUGUGAGCCAGGCUGGCCUGGCCACCACCGAUAAGCUGGAGGCAUGAGUGCCCAGGUUCAUCUGGGGAGAGCAGCCGGAGCUGUUGAUAGGCAGAGAAAAUCUGUGAUUAAUUAUGGCAGAUGAAAGUAUGAAGUAAUGAAUCCUUCUUGAGGGCUGGGCGAGCUGAAGGGCCUCGCUCUCUGGAUGCAUGUGGAGACUGCACGGCCCCUUCUGAAACCAGCAGUAAACUUUAAUGGCUGCAAGUUCUGUGACUUGGCGGGCUGCGGAUUGGAUGGCACAUAGAACUCAUGAAUUCUCUGGGGUGGGAGCUAAUUAGGGUGCAAUUUUUCAAUUACGGAACAUUGAGCGAGCCUCUCCCCAGACCCCCCCCCCCACCAUCCCUCAAUGGAUACACUCCAUUUGUCUGUUUUCCUUUAUUUCUUAAUCAUUUGAUGAUAUGACAGCAAUUAUUUGUCAUUUGGAAGAGAAAAUCGUCACGGAGCUAUUGUUUCCCUCCUGAAGCCCCAGCUCUUCUGUGGAGAUGGUUACAUUUGAUAAAUGGUCUGCGUUCCCGCCGCUCCUCCCCCAACCCCCACCCGGGGUUGGUGUGGCAACAGGAAAACAUUAGCCUGUGACGCGCCUGCUCUGAUUGAAACGCCAUUUGUAGAAAGGCCUGGAAAAGAGCAGGAUCCAGUUGAAAAGAGCCGCAGCCCCGAGCUCUAGGCCCACCCACGUCACCCAGGUUGAGGCUGUGGGACAUUUGCUUUGGGAAAUUUGGUCACUUCUCUGAGCUAAUAAGCCCAGCGUCAGGAUCAGGAAUGCAAAACAGAAAUGGAGCAAAAAAGAAAAAAAAAAAAAAAAAAGGCAAAGAAAAAAGCAGCACUCCACCAGAAAUGGGAACACUUAAAUGACUUUGUUUAAAUGUCAUGGUACUCUCAAAACCCUG